AUUGAACGCUGGCGGCAGGCCUAACACAUGCAAGUCGAGCGGCAGCGACUUAACUGAACCUUCGAACGUUAAGGGCGGCGAGCGGCGGACGGGUGAGUAAUGCCUGGGAAUAUGCCCUGAUGUGGGGGAUAACUAUUGGAAACGAUAGCUAAUACCGCAUAAUCUCUUCGGAGCAAAGAGGGGGACCUUCGGGCCUCUCGCGUCAGGAUUAGCCCAGGUGGGAUUAGCUUGUUGGUGAGGUAAUGGCUCACCAAGGCAACGAUCCCUAGCUGGUCUGAGAGGAUGAUCAGCCACACUGGAACUGAGACACGGUCCAGACUCCUACGGGAGGCAGCAGUGGGGAAUAUUGCACAAUGGGGGAAACCCUGAUGCAGCCAUGCCGCGUGUGUGAAGAAGGCCUUCGGGUUGUAAAGCACUUUCAGUAGGGAGGAAGGUAGUGUAGUUAACACCUGCAUUAUUUGACGUUACCUACAGAAGAAGCACCGGCUAACUCCGUGCCAGCAGCCGCGGUAAUACGGAGGGUGCGAGCGUUAAUCGGAAUUACUGGGCGUAAAGCGCAUGCAGGCGGCCUGUUAAGUCAGAUGUGAAAGCCCGGGGCUUAACCUCGGAAUUGCAUUUGAAACUGGCAGGCUAGAGUCUUGUAGAGGGGGGUAGAAUUUCAGGUGUAGCGGUGAAAUGCGUAGAGAUCUGAAGGAAUACCAGUGGCGAAGGCGGCCCCCUGGACAAAGACUGACGCUCAGAUGCGAAAGCGUGGGGAGCAAACAGG
rnacentral:rRNA from 1 species